ACCGUUCACUUCUUUGGCGCGCCGGUGACGGAAUUUAAGAACGAUCCGCCCGUCUCUCUAGAGAAUUGUUUCUGUCGUUCCUUCUCUUCAGCUAAACUGGAUUAGAGAUUGAGCGUUCUGGGUUUCGAUUUUUCUGCUGUUUCCAUAAAGUUUUAGAUGCGUAAAUUGAUGACCUUUCUGGAGGCACGAUAUUGUGAACCAUUGAGGGUGCUUUCAAAAGGACAAUCAUGGAGGCACGCCCUGCUUUAUCUAUUCAGAGAUCGGGUGCGAAGCAGCUAAGUAAUCAUGGGGCGUCUGCAGCUCUGUCUUCAUCUUUGCCAGUCCUGCCAACCUCUCUAGAAGAGACAUACCCCAAAUUAUCAAACUCUCAACAGGUUUCCAUGGAAAACAGUGUUAUGACAAAGCCUACUGUCCACGCAAGUCAAUUACCCUCUAACAGUGGAGUAGUUGGCCAUCUAUUUUCAUCAUCUGCAGGCUUCUCAUCAGACCUUCAGUACUCUUCUGUUUCACCACAAGAGAAACAAUCUAGGAAUGCUCCUUUCAUUUCUCAAUCAUCUAAUGUGACAGCUGUUACUUUGCCACAAUCUUCGCAUUCAGGAUUGGUUCAGUCCACAACAUCAAGUCAGUAUGCCAAGGAAAACAAUGCUUCAUGGUGUCCAGAGUCACUGCCUGGUUUUCUUGAUUUUCCUGUAAAUAACCCUGUACAUAAUAAUCAAAUAGAAAGCAACAGUUGUAGUGGUGUCAUUGCAUCUGAGGAAUUUAGUAAACGAAGUGAUUGGCAGGAAUGGGCAGACCAGCUUAUCACUGAUGAUGAUGCUUUGGCAUCUAAUUGGAGUGAGCUUCUAAUUGACACCAGUGUUGCAGAAAUGGAACCAAAGAUGGCAUAUCAUGUGUCGAAAACAUCUUCAAAUAUUCCAUCUCAGCAGCUCCAAGUUCAUCAACCACUUCCUGCUCCAUCUGGAGAGAUUCGUCCUGUUCUUACCCCUACUUCCUCAGGCAAUAGUGGCCCAUCCAAACCACGCAUGCGUUGGACACCAGAGCUUCAUGAAGCCUUUGUGGAAGCUGUCAAUCAGCUUGGUGGUAGUGAAAGAGCUACUCCAAAAGGUGUGCUGAAGCUCAUGAAAGUUGAUGGCUUGACGAUCUAUCAUGUAAAAAGCCACUUGCAGAAGUACCGGACAGCCAGAUACAGACCAGAACUCAUCAGAAGGAUCCUCAGAGAAAAAAUUGACUCCUAUGGAUGAAAUAUCAUCUCUUGACUUGAAAAAGGGUAUUGAGAUUACCGAAGCUCUGCGAUUACAGAUGGAAGUUCAGAAACGGCUGCAUGAACAGCUUGAGAUUCAACGAAAUUUACAGUUACGGAUAGAAGAACAAGGGAGGUACCUCCAAAUGAUGUUUGAGAAGCAGUGCAAGUCAGGUACUGACGUGCUGAAGGCUUCAUCGUCUGCUAUGGAGAACAUCCCUGCUCCAUCUUCUGAUGCAAAUGCAAUCCAUGGUUCCCCUGCCAAAAAUGAAGUGGCAACCUCCCAGUCAGACCAUGACAAGACAAACACUGACACAGUUGAUGCUAAGUCCAUGUUGGCAGAAGGAUCACAUAAUCCAAGGGAGAAGCAAAAGACACCUCAAGUUGAAGCUUCUGAGAGUCCCCAGCCAGAUAAUUGCAAGUCAAGUUCACAGCCUGCUAAACGUCCGAGAACAGAUGCCUAAGCCAUCAGCAUUCCACUGACAAGCGACAUUGAUUUGGUGGAAGAUUUUUAAUCUUUAUUAGGACAGAACCUAGAUGACUUGUAAUAGAGCUUUAGAACUUUGAGAUCCUACUGCUUCUGUUUUUAUCAUGUCCUU
rnacentral:misc_RNA from 1 species